GAUGAACGCUGGCGGCGUGCUUAACACAUGCAAGUCGAACGGAAAGGCUCCUGCUUGCAGGGGUACUCGAGUGGCGAACGGGUGAGUAACACGCGGGUGAUCUGCCCUGCACUUCGGGAUAAGCCUGGGAAACUGGGUCUAAUACCGCAUAGGACGAUGGUUUGCAUGCCAUUCUGUAAAGAUUUUCGGUGUGGGUUUGGCUCGCGGCCUAUGAGCUUGUUGGUGGGGUAAUGGGCUACCAAGGCGUCGACGGGUAGCCGGCCUGGGAGGGGGUACGGGCACAAUGGGACUGAGAUAGGCAGCAGACGGCAACGGGAGGCAGCGGGGGGGAAUAUUGCACAAUGGGCGCAAGCCUGAUGCAGCGACGCUGCGUGGGGGAUGACGGGUUUCGGGUUGUAAACACCUUUCGAUGGGGACGAAGCGCUAGUGACGGUACCUGGAGAAGAAGCACCGGCUAACUACGUG
rnacentral:rRNA from 1 species